ensembl:snoRNA
CUUCUGGUGAUGAGAACACUGUCCAGUUCUGCUACUGAAUUUAAAAAUGAUGACAAUUGGAAAUCUGAAGAGG